rnacentral:rRNA from 1 species
AUUGAACGCUGGCGGCAGGCCUAACACAUGCAAGUCGAGCGGAUGAAGGGAGCUUGCUCCUGGAUUCAGCGGCGGACGGGUGAGUAAUGCCUAGGAAUCUGCCUGGUAGUAGGGGAUAACGUCCGGAAACGGGCGCUAAUACCGCAUACGUCCUGAGGGAGAAAGUGGGGGAUCUUCGGACCUCACGCUAUCAGAUGAGCCUAGGUCGGAAUAGCUAGUUGGUGGGGUAAAGGCCUACCAAGGCGACGAUCCGUAACUGGUCUGAGAGGAUGAUCAGUCACACUGGAACUGAGACACGGUCCAGACUCCUACGGGAGGCAGCAGUGGGGAAUAUUGGACAAUGGGCGAAAGCCUGAUCCAGCCAUGCCGCGUGUGUGAAGAAGGUCUUCGGAUUGUAAAGCACUUUAAGUUGGGAGGAAGGGCAGUAAGUUAAUACCUUGCUGUUUUGACGUUACCAACAGAAUAAGCACCGGCUAACUUCGUG